rnacentral:rRNA from 1 species
AUUGAACGCUGGCGGCAGGCUUAACACAUGCAAGUCGAGCGGAGAUGAAGUGCUUGCACCUUAUCUUAGCGGCGGACGGGUGAGUAAUGCUUAGGAAUCUGCCUAUUAGUGGGGGACAACAUUCCGAAAGGAAUGCUAAUACCGCAUACGCCCUACGGGGGAAAGCAGGGGAUCUUCGGACCUUGCGCUAAUAGAUGAGCCUAAGUCGGAUUAGCUAGUUGGUGGGGUAAAGGCCUACCAAGGCGACGAUCUGUAGCGGGUCUGAGAGGAUGAUCCGCCACACUGGGACUGAGACACGGCCCAGACUCCUACGGGAGGCAGCAGUGGGGAAUAUUGGACAAUGGGCGGAAGCCUGAUCCAGCCAUGCCGCGUGUGUGAAGAAGGCCUUUUGGUUGUAAAGCACUUUAAGCGAGGAGGAGGCUACCUGGAUUAAUACUCUAGGAUAGUGGACGUUACUCGCAGAAUAAGCACCGGCUAACUCUGUGCCAGCCGCCGCGGUAAUAC